CUGACGGUGCAACGCCGCGUGAACGACGAAGGUUUUCGGAUCGUAAAGUUCUGUUGUGAGGGAAGAACACGUGCCGGUCAAACAGGCCGGCGCCUUGACGGUACCUCACGAGAAAGCCCCGGCUAACUACGUGCCAGCAGCCGCGGUAAUACGUAGGGGGCAAGCGUUGUCCGGAAUUAUUGGGCGUAAAGCGCGCGCAGGCGGUCUUGUAAGUCUGAUGUGAAAGCCCACGGCUCAACCGUGGAGGGUCAUUGGAAACUGCAGGACUUGAGUGUAGGAGAGGAAAGUGGAAUUCCACGUGUAGCGGUGAAAUGCGUAGAUAUGUGGAGGAACACCAGUGGCGAAGGCGACUUUCUGGCCUACAACUGACGCUGAGGCGCGAAAGCGUGGGGAGCAAACAGGAUUAGAUACCCUGGUAGUCCACGCCGUAAACGAUGAGUGCUAGGUGUUAGGGGUUUCGAUGCCCUUAGUGCCGAAGUUAACACAUUAAGCACUCCGCCUGGGGAGUACGGCCGCAAGGCUGAAACUCAAAGGAAUUGACGGGGGCCCGCACAAGCAGUGGAGCAUGUGGUUUAAUUCGACGCAACGCGAAGAACCUUACCAGGUCUUGACAUCCGUUGACCGCUCUGGAGACAGAGUUUUCCCCUUCGGGGGACAACGUGACAGGUGGUGCAUGGUUGUCGUCAGCUCGUGUCGUGAGAUGUUGGGU
rnacentral:rRNA from 1 species